GUGCCAGCCGCCGCGGUAAUACAGAGGUCCCGAGCGUUGUUCGGAUUCACUGGGCGUAAAGGGUGCGCAGGUGGCUUGGCAAGUUCGAUGUGAAAGCUCAGGGCUUAACCCUGAAAUGGCAUUGAAUACUGCUGGGCUGGAGGUUUGGAGGGGGGACUGGAAUUCUCGGUGUAGCAGUGAAAUGCGUAGAUAUCGAGAGGAACACCAGUGGCGAAGGCGAGUCCCUGGACAACACCUGACACUGAGGCACGAAAGCUAGGGGAGCAAACAGGAUUAGAUACCCCUGUAGUCC
rnacentral:rRNA from 1 species